GACGAACGCUGGCGGCGUGCCUAAUACAUGCAAGUAGAACGCUGAAGAGAGGAGCUUGCUCUUCUUGGAUGAGUUGCGAACGGGUGAGUAACGCGUAGGUAACCUGCCUUGUAGCGGGGGAUAACUAUUGGAAACGAUAGCUAAUACCGCAUAACAAUGGAUGACACAUGUCAUUUAUUUGAAAGGGGCAAUUGCUCCACUACAAGAUGGACCUGCGUUGUAUUAGCUAGUAGGUGAGGUAACGGCUCACCUAGGCGACGAUACAUAGCCGACCUGAGAGGGUGAUCGGCCACACUGGGACUGAGACACGGCCCAGACUCCUACGGGAGGCAGCAGUAGGGAAUCUUCGGCAAUGGGGGCAACCCUGACCGAGCAACGCCGCGUGAGUGAAGAAGGUUUUCGGAUCGUAAAGCUCUGUUGUAAGUCAAGAACGAGUGUGAGAGUGGAAAGUUCACACUGUGACGGUAGCUUACCAGAAAGGGACGGCUAACUACGUGCCAGCAGCCGCGGUAAUACGUAGGUCCCGAGCGUUGUCCGGAUUUAUUGGGCGUAAAGCGAGCGCAGGCGGUUUGAUAAGUCUGAAGUUAAAGGCUGUGGCUCAACCAUAGUUCGCUUUGGAAACUGUCAAACUUGAGUGCAGAAGGGGAGAGUGGAAUUCCAUGUGUAGCGGUGAAAUGCGUAGAUAUAUGGAGGAACACCGGUGGCGAAAGCGGCUCUCUGGUCUGUAACUGACGCUGAGGCUCGAAAGCGUGGGGAGCGAACAGGAUUAGAUACCCUGGUAGUCCACGCCGUAAACGAUGAGUGCUAGGUGUUGGAUCCUUUCCGGGAUUCAGUGCCGCAGCUAACGCAUUAAGCACUCCGCCUGGGGAGUACGACCGCAAGGUUGAAACUCAAAGGAAUUGACGGGGGCCCGCACAAGCGGUGGAGCAUGUGGUUUAAUUCGAAGCAACGCGAAGAACCUUACCAGGUCUUGACAUCCCGAUGCUAUUUCUAGAGAUAGAAAGUUACUUCGGUACAUCGGUGACAGGUGGUGCAUGGUUGUCGUCAGCUCGUGUCGUGAGAUGUUGGGUUAAGUCCCGCAACGAGCGCAACCCCUAUUGUUAGUUGCCAUCAUUCAGUUGGGCACUCUAGCGAGACUGCCGGUAAUAAACCGGAGGAAGGUGGGGAUGACGUCAAAUCAUCAUGCCCCUUAUGACCUGGGCUACACACGUGCUACAAUGGUUGGUACAACGAGUUGCGAGUCGGUGACGGCAAGCUAAUCUCUUAAAGCCAAUCUCAGUUCGGAUUGUAGGCUGCAACUCGCCUACAUGAAGUCGGAAUCGCUAGUAAUCGCGGAUCAGCACGCCGCGGUGAAUACGUUCCCGGGCCU
rnacentral:rRNA from 1 species